rnacentral:tRNA from 1 species
GGGCAAGUACCAGAGCGGUCAAAUGGGGCAGACUGUAAAUCUGCUGGCUAAGCCUACGGUGGUUCGAAUCCAUCCUUGCCCACCA